rnacentral:rRNA from 1 species
UUUAUUGGAGAGUUUGAUCCUGGCUCAGGAUGAACGCUGGCGGCGUGCCUAAUACAUGCAAGUCGAGCGAAUGGAUUAAGAG